rnacentral:rRNA from 1 species
UAACCGUAUAGGGGAGCCGGAGGGAAACCGAGUCUUAAUUGGGCGUUAAGUUGCAGGGUAUAGACCCGAAACCCGGUGAUCUAGCCAUGGGCAGGUUGAAGGUUGGGUAACACUAACUGGAGGACCGAACCGACUAAUGUUGAAAAAUUAGCGGAUGACCUGUGGCUGGGGGUGAAAGGCCAAUCAAACCGGGAGAUAGCUGGUUCUCCCCGAAAGCUAUUUAGGUAGCGCCUCGUGAAUUCAUCUCCGGGGGUAGAGCACUGUUUCGGCUAGGGGGCCAUCCCGGCUUACCAACCCGAUGCAAACUGCGAAUACCGGAGAAUGUUAUCACGGGAGACACACGGCGGGUGCUAACGUCCGUCGUGAAGAGGGAAACAACCCAGACCGCCAGCUAAGGUCCCAAAGUCAUGGUUAAGUGGGAAACGAUGUGGGAAGGCCCAGACAGCCAGGAUGUUGGCUUAGAAGCAGCCAUCAUUUAAAGAAAGCGUAAUAGCUCACUGGUCGAGUCGGCCUGCGCGGAAGAUGUAACGGGGCUAAACCAUGCACCGAAGCUGCGGCAGCGACGCUGAUGCGUUGUUGGGUAGGGGAGCGUUCUGUAAGCCUGUGAAGGUGGCCUGUGAGGGUUGCUGGAGGUAUCAGAAGU